UACAGAGGUCCCGAGCGUUGUUCGGAUUCACUGGGCGUAAAGGGUGCGUAGGUGGUUGUGCAAGUCUGAUGUGAAAUCUCCGGGCUUAACCCGGAAAUGGCAUUGGAAACUGCAUGGCUAGAGGGUUGGAGGGGGGACUGGAAUACUUGGUGUAGCAGUGAAAUGCGUAGAUAUCAAGUGGAACACCAGUGGCGAAGGCGGCUCACUGGCCCGAUACUGACGCUGAGGUGCGAAAGCGUGGGGAGCAAACAGG
rnacentral:rRNA from 1 species